AGUCGGCGCUGGCGUAGCUCGGCUCAGCCCGGCGGAGUCUGACUUCCGGAGGGCCAGCGGCGCGCUGGCUGGUUACCAAGGUUACCGCCGAGAGGCCGCGUCCUCAGCUGGUCCUAGACAUGCGUGGCGUCGGGGCUGUGGCACGGUCGGGUCCGGGGACACUUGUUUAACAAGACAUCUGCCCAUGUCCCUGGCCCAUCUCAUUGGCUGCAGCACAUCACAGUGGACCUUCUGCCUCCUCCCAGAUGCCCAGGGACAGUGAUCUGGAAGGAAGGGGCUUGAGGCUGUUUUCCUAGAACUCGACUUGAAUGCACCAAGGAAAGGCCAUUUGUGGGGACAUAGCAAGAAGGCAGCUGUCUGCAAGCCAGGAGGAGAACCCUCACCAGAAACCUCACAGAAAUCGGCCAACACCCUCAUCUCGGGCUUCCAGCUUCAGAACAACGAGAAAACAAAUUUCUGUUGUGUCCUGGUUCCCAUUUGUAAUUGGCACCCUAAUGAAACCGUUUUCUGUAGCCCUGGAAAUGGCUGAAAAUGAGGGGAGGGAAAUAAAGUGCUAUAAUUCAGAGCAUGGAGCACACCUUCCUGGUUCACCUGAGCUGGAUUCGGAGAGGUAAAAUGGCCAUUACCUCGUCUAAGCUGCCACUUACAGACACAGUACAGGAUGAGGCCCAGACCCACAGAGACAACGAUGAUGGCCACAGCUAAGAUGAUCCAGAAAUUAUUCCUCCACCAGCUCAUUGCAGUGGAAUCCUGAGAAGAAUGGAGAGAGAAGAAUGAGAGGGCAAAAGCAGAUGGCUACACCGAGAACUCACGCCAGCCCAACACACUUUGAUCUCGAGGCCUCUGGAAGGGAAGGUGCCUAAUGAACUACUGAAAGCCAGAGAUGCAAUGACAAAGCAGUCGUACCAGGGCCCCAGGCUGCAAUCCCCUGGCCCAGUGCUGAUCGGUGGCUCCCAGGGACACGCCCUGAUGCCAGCGCUGGCAGAUGUCUGCUGUGAAGAGAGCAGGAAACUGUCCCUUGGAAAGCUGAGAUGCUUACCUGAACUGUGAAAGUAUCCAUAUGUGAGCAGCUAAGGAGACAGCAGUGGCUGGAGUGCUGCAGCUCAGGCACAGCUGGGAAGCUCAUGACCCACGGCUGUCCAGAAGCCAGAAUCUUCUCACUGCCCCGUGUCGCUCCCGCAAGGCCUACCAGAGGACCCUCAUGGUGUGGUAGGGGGUCCUGGCAGGGGCCAGGGGCCAGGGUGGAGACUUGGCAGUGGGGGUGGGUUUGGUGUCCCCACAGACGAGUUUGCCGUGAGCAUUCCUGGAUGUGGCAACCUCAGUCUCAAGAAGAGCGACAGGACGCCAGCUCCCAUGCAGAGACAGAUCCAGGUAAGAAACCAGCUCAUGUGUGACAAACUCACCAUCUCACCAUGAAGGUGACUCUUGAAAGCUCCUGUGCACCUUGGAACUGCUGAGACAUCUUCUGCUUGGAGGAGGCAAGGGACAGGCUUCCUGUUUCUAAAGGCGUGUGAGUGGCGACCUUGAGAAAUGUGGCCAGUGGAGCAUUUUGACUGAGUUGGGUCCCCUCGUGCAAUACUGUGAGACAGAACUCCCAGCGAGGCCCACGGCCUCUGACCAUGGGGGUUGGAGUGGGGAAACCAAUUAGCCAUUUUGUUGAAUUGGCUGGUUCUGACUCAAAUGAGCAGUCACAUUAGUAAAAAUAGGCAAACGGAUGUGCAUUGUAUUUGCCCAGAGCGAAUGAGUUGUUAUCCAUUUCAGUAAUAAUGAUAACCAGAUAUGUCUGAUAAAUAUCUGAUAAUGUCUGAUAUAUGUCUGGUAAAUUUAACAAACACCGGGCUCUGGCUGGGUGCGGUGGCUCACACCUGUAAUCCCAGCACUUUGGGAGGCCAAGGCGGGUGGAUCACCUGAAGUCAGUAGUUCGAGACCAGCCUGGCCAACAUGGUGAAACCCCAUCUCUACUAAAAAUACAAAAAUUAGCUGGGCAUUUUGGUGUGAACCGGUAGUCCCAGCUACUCAGGAGGCUGAGGCGGGAGAAUUGCUUGGACCCGCGAGGUGGAGGUUGCAGUGAGCCAAGAUCACACCAUUGCGCUCCAGCCUGGGCAACAGAGCAAGACUCUAUCUCAAACAAACAAAACAAAACAUCUGGCUCAGAAGAUUCCUGAUUUGCAG
rnacentral:lncRNA from 1 species